rnacentral:rRNA from 1 species
ACUCCUACGGGAGGCAGCAGUGAGGAAUAUUGGUCAAUGGAGGGAACUCUGAACCAGCCAUCCCGCGUGUAGGAAGACGGCCUUAUGGGUUGUAAACUACUUUUAUACAGGAAGAAACGUACCCUCGUGAGGGUGCCUGACGGUACUGUAGGAAUAAGCACCGGCUAACUCCGUGCCAGCAGCCGCGGUAAUACGGAGGGUGCGAGCGUUAUCCGGAUUUAUUGGGUUUAAAGGGUCCGUAGGCGGAUUAAUAAGUCAGUGGUGAAAUCCCAUCGCUUAACGAUGGAACUGCCAUUGAUACUGUUAGUCUUGAAUGAGGGUGCAGUGGUUGGAAUGUGUAGUGUAGCGGUGAAAUGCAUAGAUAUUACACAGAACACCGAUUGCGAAGGCAGAUCACUAACCCUAAAUUGACGCUGAGGGACGAAAGCGUGGGGAGCGAACAGGAUUAGAUACCCUGGUAGCACAGAG